rnacentral:rRNA from 1 species
UACAGAGGUCCCAAGCGUUGUUCGGAUUCACUGGGCGUAAAGGGUGCGUAGGUGGUGAGGUAAGUCGGAUGUGAAAUUUCGAGGCUUAACUUCGAAACUGCAUUCGAUACUGCCGUGCUUGAGGACUGGAGAGGAGACUGGAAUUUACGGUGUAGCGGUGAAAUGCGUAGAUAUCGUAAGGAAGACCAGUGGCGAAGGCGGGUCUCUGGACAGUUCCUGACGCUGAGGCACGAAGGCCAGGGGAGCAAACGGG